CAGUAGCCGCGGUAAUACGGAGGGUGCGAGCGUUAAUCGGAAUUACUGGGCGUAAAGCGUACGCAGGCGGUUUGUUAAGUCAGAUGUGAAAUCCCCGAGCUUAACUUGGGAACUGCAUUUGAAACUGGCAAGCUAGAGUCUUGUAGAGGGGGGUAGAAUUCCAGGUGUAGCGGUGAAAUGCGUAUAGAUCUGGAGGAAUACCGGUGGCGAAGGCGGCCCCCUGGACAAAGACUGACGCUCAGGUGCGAAAGCGUGGGGAGCAAACAGGAUUAGAUACCCCUGUAGUCCCUGUCUCUUAUAC
rnacentral:rRNA from 1 species